rnacentral:rRNA from 1 species
CCUACGGGAGGCAGCAGUGAGGAAUAUUGGUCAAUGGGCGAGAGCCUGAACCAGCCAAGUCGCGUGAAGGAUGACGGCCCUACGGGUUGUAAACUUCUUUUGUCAGGGAGCAAUUGGGUCCACGCGUGGGCUCAGCGAGAGUACCUGCAGAAAAAGCAUCGGCUAACUCCGUGCCAGCAGCCGCGGUAAUACGGAGGAUGCGAGCGUUAUCCGGAUUUAUUGGGUUUAAAGGGUGCGUAGGCGGACUAUCAAGUCAGCGGUAAAAAUUCGGGUCUCAACCCCGUCGUGCCGUUGAAACUGGUGGGCUUGAGUGGGGGAGAAGUAUGCAGAAUGCGUGGUGUAGCGGUGAAAUGCAUAGAUAUCACGCGGAACUCCGGUUGCGAAGGCAGCAUACCGGCGACCAACUGACGCUGAAGCACGAAAGCGUGGGUAUCGAACAGGAUUAGAUACCCUUGUAGUC